GGGUCGUUAGCUCAGUUGGUAGAGCAGUUGACUUUUAAUCAAUUGGUCG
rnacentral:tRNA from 21 species